rnacentral:misc_RNA from 1 species
AACGCACAUUGCGCCCUUUGGUAUUCCUUAGGGCAUGCCUGUUCGAGCGUCAUUUAAACCUUCAAGCUCAGCUUGGUGAUGGGUGACUGUCCUCCCCUCGCGGGGGGACUCGCCUCAAAAACAUUGGCGGCCGGUACAUUGGCUUCGAGCGCAGCAGAAACGCGGUCUCGAGCCCGGUGGAUCGGCUCCCAUAAGCCUCUUCUUUUAUUUUGACCUCGGAUCAGGUAGGGAUACCCGCUGAACUUAA